CCUACGGGGUGCAGCAGUCGAGAAUCAUUCACAAUGGGGGAAACCCUGAUGGUGCGACGCCGCGUGGGGGAAUGAAGGUCUUCGGAUUGUAAACCCCUGUCAUGUGGGAGCAAAUUAAAAAGAUAGUACCACAAGAGGAAGAGCCGGCUAACUCUGUGCCAGCAGCCGCGGUAAUACAGAGGUCUCAAGCGUUGUUCGGAAUCACUGGGCGUAACGCGGGCGUAGGCUGUUUCGUAAGUCGUGUGUGAAAGGCGCGGGCUCAACCCGCGGACGGCACAUGAUACUGCGAGACUAGAGUAAUGGAGGGGGAACCGGAAUUCUCGGUGUAGCAGUGAAAUGCGUAGAUAUCGAGAGGAACACUCGUGGCGAAGGCGGGUUCCUGGACAUUAACUGACGCUGAGGCACGAAGGCCAGGGGAGCGAAAGGGAUUAGAUACCCUAGUAGUC
rnacentral:rRNA from 1 species